GAUGAACGCUGGCGGCGUGCCUAAUACAUGCAAGUCGAGCGAAAAGACGAGGAGCUUGCUCCUCUGACGUUAGCGGCGGACGGGUGAGUAACACGUGGAUAACCUACCUAUAAGACUGGGAUAACUUCGGGAAACCGGAGCUAAUACCGGAUAAUAUAUUGAACCGCAUGGUUCAAUAGUGAAAGACGGUUUUGCUGUCACUUAUAGAUGGAUCCGCGCCGCAUUAGCUAGUUGGUAAGGUAACGGCUUACCAAGGCAACGAUGCGUAGCCGACCUGAGAGGGUGAUCGGCCACACUAGAACUGAGACACGGUCCAGACUCCUACGGGAGGCAGCAGUAGGGAAUCAUGCGCAAUGGGCGAAAGCCUGACGGAGCAACGCCGCGUGAGUGAUGAAGGUCUUCGGAUCGUAAAACUCUGUUAUGAGGGAAGAACAAAUGUGUAAGUAACUAUGCUCGUCUUGACGGUACCUAAUCAGAAAGCCACGGCUAACUACGUG
rnacentral:rRNA from 1 species